UUUUGAAACUGGAUUUAUUUAUUUAUUUAUAGAAAUAUUUUCAAAAUCAAAAGCUGGAGCCUCACAUACUUCUAUUGGCUACCCCUGUCCGCUCCAGUCACUAUACAUUUUACUGACAAGGUGGUCAGAUUUACUGUACAUGACCUGUGACUCCUCGCAACUAACUUCUGCAUCUACCUGCUGUUCCAGGUCAUGUUGCUUUCUCCCACAUGCACACGUCACUGGUUAUUCUGCUUCCUUGUGUUCAAAUGUCCUGCUUCUGACCAGAUAAACCUGAUGAUGCACCAUCCACUCAAUCUGCAAUGUGUUUCUUUAUUCUGCUCAAGUGUUGUUAUUAUAGUUUUACCAUCAUUUGAUGCAGUUUUAGAAACAAUUUCUGAGAAUACUGUGACACAAACACUAAAACAGCAAAUACAUGUUCCAAAAGGUGUUGUGUUCUCAAAACUCUUCAUACAAUUAUUAAUUAAGAAAAAAAACAUUAAGUCCUGUAUUUUCUUCACUGCUUGCUUCUGUUUGUUGGCUCACAUUAGGCAACACAGGCAACGUGACUUUAUACUGAGCCACAAAUGUUGUACUUCUGCUUACACACUGAAUGAUGAGAAUAUUGUGAGCAGAAGACUCUUUGGUGAAUCUGCACUCAAGAAGAGAAAAUGUAUGCAAGCUUUGGCCCAGCCUAAUGGUGCUUCAGAUCCUACACUGCCCUCCUUGGUGGUAACUGACACUGGACCGACUGAGACUAAAGUCGACCCCCUACCAGAGAGCUAGUAUGCUCAGGUAGAAAAGCCUGCCAGCUCCUGAAACAGUUUUCACCACCUUCACACCUUGUACAGUAUGUGUCCUAGUUUACAUACAGAGAGUUGAAAAAUAAUUUAAAUAAUCUCCUGUAAGGGAUAUGCAGUAUUAUAGGUACUUGAAUAGUUUAUUGUUUCUAAAAACAGACUUCAACUGAAAAUCCCAUUUAAAAUCAAAUGAUUUAUCCUUGUAGAGUUGAAAAACAUUUCAAUAAUUGUUCCGCUAAGUUCAGUUCAUAAUUGUUAUUCAUUGUUGUUGUCCAUUCAGUGUAUCAGUGGUCCCUCCGAUGACUCUGAUGAGCUCUGAUCGAUUUCUUGGUGAAAAACUCACAAUAUUAGAUUCAGAUUGGAUUAAACUUUAUUGUCAUUGUCAUUGUGUACAAGUAUGAGACAAUGAAAUGCAGUUUAACAGUAUAAAGUAAGUAAAAAGAGAUCAGUCUCACAACAUCUUUUGGCUUCAUUAAUUCAUAAAAGAUAAUUAUACAGCUUUAACUCGUGUCCAAUAAUGGUGUAUGUACCAGAAAGUGCUUUACUUAGUUAAAGAAAAAGAUAAAAUAUUGUCAAUUAUCAGUGUUUUGGUCACAUUAACAUUGCAUUUUAUUAAAUGUUUAUAAAUCUUUCUGAGACCAUUGUAAAUAGGACCACAGUAUUACAUAUAGUGUAUUGCCCAAGGCUAUUUAUUGUAUGCUGUUCUUUUUUCAAUAUAAUAUAUAAGAAUUUUCUAUCAUGGUCAUCUCUGUACAAUUAUUUUAUUUAUAAAGGAAGCACAGUCAUUAUUGGGUAUAAUCAAUGGGUAAUCAAGAAAAAUGAACUGCAUUUGUUUUAUUUUUUAUUUCCCUCCUAAAACAUUUGCAACGGCCAAUUUUCACAAAUAUUUUAUAUCCUGUAUUGGUUCCAUCCACGUUUUCUGGCUUGCAGACUUCUACUUCCUCUACUUACAUUUCUUGGUGUGUUACAGCCACCAACUGUCCGUCAGUGAAAUAGCAUGAAAUCAGUGGCAGGAAUGUGCAGACUUGGACAUACACAAUACAAACAAAA